GAGGAAACCACUGGACCUACGAGCAUCACUUUGAGCACAAAGGUUUCAGCAUUUAUCAUGAUAUGACUAAGACAGCGAUGGAGUAUAGGACGAUCAAAGUCUUCAGCAGUGCCUUUCCCUGUCAGAAUUCUAAAGUAACUUUGGAGCAAGGCAUUAAGGAAAUGGAUUUCAAAACACCUGGUGAUGGUGCCUCAUCUCGACAGCCGGAUUCUACCACAGAUUCCCUAAGGUUUUCUAUUUUCUGAAGGUAGAGUGCCCUUGUUAGUGUUGUUUGCAAUUGCUGACUUAUUUCCUUUUGGGCAUCAGCUCUUACA